CUUCAUGGACCCCAGGUAGAGGGGGUGUCCGGCGUCGCGUUCCCGGCCGUACGUGGCGAGCAGCGCCUGGGCCUC
rnacentral:antisense_RNA from 3 species